rnacentral:tRNA from 1 species
GGGCGCGUAGCUCAGUUGGUUAGAGCGCUUCCCUUACAAGGAAGAGGUCCGGGGUUCGAGCCCCUGCGCGCCCACCA